UUCGCAAGCCACUUGAAUCUAGUUGGACUUGGAAGCAUCAACGCUAAGGUAAUUUCUUCUUCUUUUCUGCUUUUCUUCCUUUGUUGUCUUUUUUCUUUUUUUUUUGUAGGUCAAGCGAGAAAGAUAUGCUCUUGUUCAACAAGAUCCAUGCAUGAAAAAAACAAUCUUAGGGUGUGAAGGGAUGAGUACCCAUCCCAACCCGACUAUCAGAGAGAUUACUCUCAAUGUGGCCCGACUAUCGGAGAGAUUACUCUCAAAAUGACCCGACUAUCGGAGAGAUUACUCUCAAUGUGGCCCGACUAUCGAAGAAAUUACUCUCAAAAUGACCCGACUAUCGGAGAGAUUACUCUCAAAACGACCCGACUAUCGGCGAGGCCAACUUAAGGUGCAAAGGGGACUCAUAUGUCCACCUUAAGAUUGGAAAAUAAUAGCUCCUUUUAAGGACAAACUCACGAAGAGGCCAACUUAAGGUGCAAAGGGACUUAUAUGUCCACCUUAAGAUUGGAAAGUUAUAGUUUCUUUUAAGGACAAACCCACGAAGAGGCCAACUUAAGGUGUAAAGGUACUUAUAUGUCCACCUUAAGAUUGGAAAGUUAUAAAGCUUCAACUUGAAGACGACAUCGACUUGAACCCUUGGAGAACUUUGAAGAUUUGGCGGACUUUGCAGACUUCAAUUCGAAGAUUCGGAGGGCUUAAACAAUUCAACUUUAAGAUCGGUGAAUUUGAAGAUUGAAACUUGAAGACCGAAAGACUUGAAGACUUCAACUUGGGGGGCUUAAAUAUUUCAACUUUAAGACCGGCGAAUUUGAAGACUGAAACUUGAAGACCGACGAACUUGAAGACUUCAACUUUGAGACUUGGAUGGCCUAAAUAUUUCAACUUGAAGAUCGGCGAAUUUGAAGACUUCAACUUGAAGACCGACGGAGUUGAAGAUUUCAACUUGGUGACUUCAACUUGAAUACCGACGGACUUGAAGACUCCAACUUGGAGACUUCGACGGCUUAAAUAUUUCAGCUUCUCUUUUGCUUUACAUUGUCCGACUUUUAUCUUAGUCGCAUAAUUUUUAGCUUUACGCGUUUGUAACAAAAGAUUCAUAUCUUGUCGUGGGAGAGUCCAAAUAAUGAACUAUUUGAUGACUUCAAUAUCUAAAAUAUAUCCAUUACUUCGAACUAAAAACCUUUAGAAUCGUGCCGGAUAAUAUUUUGAAACCAACUUUAGAUUUCAC
rnacentral:lncRNA from 1 species